rnacentral:rRNA from 1 species
UGGGGAAUCUUAGACAAUGGGGGCAACCCUGAUCUAGCCAUGCCGCGUGGAUGAUGAAGGCCUUAGGGUCGUAAAGUCCUUUCGCUGGGGAAGAUAAUGACGGUACCCAGUAAAGAAACCCCGGCUAACUCCGUGCCAGCAGCCGCGGUAAUACGGAGGGGGUUAGCGUUGUUCGGAUUUACUGGGCGUAAAGCGCGCGUAGGCGGAUCAGAAAGUUGGGGGUGAAAUCCCGGGGCUCAACCCCGGAAUUGCCUUCAAAACUCCUGGUCUUGAGUUCGAGAGAGGUGAGUGGAAUUCCGAGUGUAGAGGUGAAAUUCGUAGAUAUUCGGAGGAACACCAGUGGCGAAGGCGGCUCACUGGCUCGAAACUGACGCUGAGGUGCGAAAGCGUGGGGAGCAAACAGG